rnacentral:rRNA from 1 species
UACAGAGGGGGCAAGCGUUAUUCGGAAUUAUUGGGCGUAAAGGGCGCGUAGGCGGCCUGGCAAGUGACGGGUGAAAGCCCUCGGCUCAACCGAGGAACUGCCUGUCAUACUGCCGGGCUUGAGUCCGGGAGAGGUGAGUGGAAUUCCCAGUGUAGCGGUGAAAUGCGUAGAUAUCUGGAGGAACACCGGUGGCGAAGGCGGCAUCCUGGACCGACAUUGACGCUGAGGCGCGAAAGCCAGGGGAGCAAACGGG